rnacentral:pre_miRNA from 1 species
GGCUCGGCAGACAGAGGAAGAGAACGGCCUGGGGUUGGCUGAGUGGGUUUUCAGGUUGCUAACUGCUCUUCCCUAGAAUGCCAGGUGAUG